UGGCUCAGAACGAACGCUGGCGGCAGGCUUAACACAUGCAAGUCGAGCGCCCCGCAAGGGGAGCGGCAGACGGGUGAGUAACGCGUGGGAACGUACCCUUUACUACGGAAUAACGCAGGGAAACUUGUGCUAAUACCGUAUGUGCCCUUUUGGGGAAAGAUUUAUCGGUAAGGGAUCGGCCCGCGUUGGAUUAGCUAGUUGGUGGGGUAAAGGCCUACCAAGGCGACGAUCCAUAGCUGGUCUGAGAGGAUGAUCAGCCACAUUGGGACUGAGACACGGCCCAAA
rnacentral:rRNA from 1 species